rnacentral:rRNA from 1 species
CCCGCUGAACUUAAGCAUAUCAAUAAGCGGAGGAAAAGAAACUAACAAGGAUUCCCCUAGUAACUGCGAGUGAAGCGGGAAGAGCUCAAAUUUAAAAUCUGGCGCGCCUUUGGCCGUCCGAGUUGUAGUCUGGAGAAGCGUUUUCCGUGUUGGACCGUGUAUAAGUCUCUUGGAACAGGGCGUCAUAGAGGGUGAGAAUCCCGUCUUUGGCACGGACUACCAAUGCUUUGUGAUGCGCUCUCAAAGAGUCGAGUUGUUUGGGAAUGCAGCUCUAAAUGGGUGGUAAAUUCCAUCUAAAGCUAAAUAUUGGCGAGAGACCGAUAGCGAACAAGUACCGUGAGGGAAAGAUGAAAAGAACUUUGGAAAGAGAGUUAAACAGUACGUGAAAUUGUUGAAAGGGAAACGCUUGAAGUCAGUCGCGUUGCCCAGAAAUCAACCUUGCUUUUGCUUGGUGUACUUUCUGGUUAACGGGUCAGCAUCAAUUUUGACCGGUGGAUAAAGGUCAGGGGAAUGUGGCAUCUUCGGAUGUGUUAUAGCCCUUGGUUGCAUACAUCGAUUGGGAUUGAGGAACUCAGCAUGCCGCAAGGCCGGGUUUUUAACCACGUACAUGCUUAGGAUGCUGGCAUAAUGGCUUUAAUCGACCCGUCUUGAAACACGG